UACGUAGGGUGCAAGCGUUAAUCGGAAUUACUGGGCGUAAAGCGUGCGCAGGCGGCUUUGCAAGACAGAUGUGAAAUCCCCGGGCUUAACCUGGGAACUGCAUUUGUGACUGCAUGGCUGGAGUGCGGCAGAGGGGGAUGGAAUUCCGCGUGUAGCAGUGAAAUGCGUAGAUAUUGGGAAGAACACCGGUGGCGAAGGCGGCUCACUGGCUCAUUACUGACGCUCAGGCGCGAUAGCGUGGGGAUCAAACAGG
rnacentral:rRNA from 1 species